CCCUUUUGGAAAGACAAGGUCAGGCCGAAUUAGGUUUAUACCAAAUGGCUUCCUCAUAUUCUCCAAUAUAUCCUAUUGCUUGCCAUUUUUAUUUGUCACCCCGAGGCCCUGCCAUGGGGAGGGAUCCUGGAUCCCAGCGGGGGAAACCUGAUGAACUAGUAAGAUCCGCACUGCGCUCAACGGUGAGGAGGAGGAGGAAACCAGCAGGAGAGCAGGACGGGCGUGGAUGCCUGUGUGCUGUGACCUGCCAUGCCAGACGAGCACACAGGCCUCAGGGAGGUGGCAUGGAGUCAAGACUUAGCCAGGGAGGGAGGGGCUGGGGCAGGAAGGAGAGGGGUCCAGGAAGGACGCUGGCUUUUGCUCUGAGGGAUGCAGGGAAGGCUUGGUCACAGGUUGGACGAGGGGAGGGUCCCGACCCAGCUCGCUUGGAGGAGCACAAAAUCAGUUUUCUUCUGGAAAGAAGGCCGUGGUCCCCAUUCCUAUCUGGCAAGCAGGCCCCGUGUCAAAGGGAAGAAAUGACGCCCUCUACCUUCAAAGGGCGAAGGCGGCAGGGGCGGACCCGACUCCUCCCUGGCUCAUCCGAGCGCUUCUGUUCGGGAUCCUGGGAGCCUGAGUCAGCCAGGCCCUCCGGCUGCCGAGCAGCAGUGUGACCCCGCAGUUCUGUGCGCCUCUGCCUGGGACGGGCAGCCUCCCCCUGUUCCAGGGCAGCCCUGGGCUCCGACUGUCUCCGCUGGUCCCUAUUCACCUUACACUACCCUGAGAUUUCAAGAUGUGGCAUGAAAACCAUGUCUGAACUGCUGUUCAUAUCUGGGAGGCCAUCGAACAUUUGCCAAAACUGAGGGUUUUGAGUUUGCUUUGGAAAUGUGGUGAGGUAACAGGGGAUAUAAGAUUCAUGGUACUUUCUAGCCUCAGCCCUCCACUUCCCAAGGGUCCUUUUUUAAAGAUGGGUUCAGAACAGCAGGCAAAUCACAUGACCUGUGCCCUGGAGCCCACUUCUAGAAGAAGGUCUUUCUGGGACUCCAGAUGCACUCUCGCAUGAAAAGUGCCUGUGAGCCAUGGCCGGAUGUGGGAGAAAUAAUGUUAUCAGCAUUCUCGGAAAGCACCAGGGCUUUUGUGAACACACAUGGGCACCAAACGUUGGUUUUCAGGAAUGUUCCAUCCGACGCCUAACAAGGAGCCUGGAAGGUGAUUUGUGGAGCCACUGCCCCUGAACUGGGGGUGACUGUCUGUCUGUUUUCACGCUUAUCCAAAGCCUGGAAGACUAGAAAUUUGGUGCUCAGCUCAGCAUAACCCCAAGUGCUGGCUCCACCUGUGCUGUGUGUUUGCUGGUUCUGGGAAAACUCAAGCUUUCAGCUCAGAUCAUAGGGUUUUGCUUUUGAAAGACGCGGUGACCCUUUCUAAGGCCCCUGAUCCAUGUCCCCGCCUGCUUGGCACAUUCCCAGCAAGAGUGCUUCCUUCUGCAGACUCGAGCCCACAGGGAGGGUGACAGCCUCUCACCAUCGUGGGGUGUCCCUGGGGCCCAGGCUGCGUCCACCUCAGCUGGGUCUUACAGAAGGGAGCAAGCACAUAGCCUCCAGGCUCUCCCGGGCCCCUCGCUCCGUCCCUCUCUCCACCCUGCAUGGGGCUGCCACCAGGUGAAGCAGCUGACCCCUGAACCUCCUCCCCCCGGCCUUUCUUUGGGGCCCAAACCCCAUUUCCCACUUCCUGCCGCCAUUUCUGCGAGCAGGUUCUACUCUCCUGGCCCCACUUCUGUGCUCAGCUUCUUUCACCCCCAAAACUCCCCGGCUUCCAGCCCUGUUAGCACAGCUCCACCGUGUCCCGCCGGCCUGUCGUGCGGUCACUCUCGCUGCUCAAGCCCUGCCCUUCUCCUGGUGGCCACAGGACUCCUCUUCCCUCCCACCGCCACCUCACAGCCGCCUGGAAGAGCAGCGCUGUUCCUGUCGCUCCGAUGCCCCGACGUCCGUGCACUUGGGUUGAGUGUGAUGGCUGACUCUGGCCAAGUAUGUCUUGGGGCCAGAUGAAACUUGAAUGGAAACAAGCUGGACAAGAGCAGAGCCUCCCUCUAGGAAGAGAGGAAGGACAGAUCCAGAGAGAGAAAGACCCAGGCCUGGCAGGAAAAGCCACCUUCUGCAAGAGGGCCGUGGCCAGCACCUGGGGCCCGGAGGCCGUGCGGGUUCCAGCCUCAGCUCAGGGUUCCUGGAUGGGACCUGGCUGGGUCCCGGCGCCUCCCGCACAGGACUCGAGGAGAAGCCCUGAGGCUCGCUGACGCAGGACCGCGCUCAGUGGACCCCGGCUGUUCCGUGUUCCUGCUUGGACUCAGGCGCCUCAGGCGCAUUUUCCUCUGCGAGGAGGCCCCGCGCCCACGUGUGCUGCAGGCAGUCACUUCAGAGUCUUUCUUCUGUGAAGACCUUUAAAGAAGAAAAACAGGCUUAGGGAGGUGGCGGGUCCAAAGUCUCCCUGCUCCGGGAGGGAGAUUGCCCUGGAGGGACUCAGGCUGCCGCGAGCGCUGUGCACAGGGCGUGGUGACACAGCGAGGGGACGCCUCGGUGAAGCCCCUAAAUCAGGCUUCGGCUUGUUUUGCCUCCAGUCCCUGCAACGCAGAGUUGGAGCGUCCGGUGUUUUAUAGGCUCUGGGCGUUGCGAGAGGCUUAUGAUUUGCUUCUGGAGACAACGUUAUAGGAGCGUCACCCAUAAGCAAGUUUUACUUUUAUAAUAGAUGAAAGUGAACAGUUUUUUUGAGGAAAAAGUAUUGUGAUACAACAUGAUGUUAUGUGCAAACCCCCGUAAGUUUUCAUAGGACAGACUCGAUGCGGGAGGAGAGCGGGAGCGGGUACUCGUCCCCAGGCAGGUGUGGCGUUUGCUCAGAGUCUGGAUGGACAGUGAGGGGUGGACGGGGAGGGGCGGGCGGGGGCGGCCUGUGCUGCAGAGAGCUGGGAAGAGGCUCUGCCUGCCUGGCACCACCGACAGCCGACAGCCGAGCUAGGAGCACAGAGGUCGCAGGUUGGCGCCCCCAUCUCACUGCGCCUGCCCACCCCCUUUCUCCCCUUCUCCCAUUUGUAGCAGAAGCCCCAGGUUUUACAGUCAUCUUGUUCAGCUCCGGCCACUGUAAGAGUCCCGGCCUGAGUGGCUUAGACAACAGACACCUGUGGUCUCCCGUCCUGGAGGCUGGACGUCCAAGGUCAAGGUGUCACAGGGCUGGUUCCUCCCUCCUUGGCUUGUGGACGCCGCUUCGUCCCAUGUCCUCACGUGGUCGUCCCUCUGUGCGUGUCCUCAUCUCCUCUUCUUAUAGGGGCUCCAGUCAUACGGGAUCAGGGCCCACCCCAGUGACCUCAUUUUGACUUAAUCACCUCUUUAAAGGCCCAGCUCCAAAUGCAGUCACAUUCAGAAAUAGUUCCACUGUUGAAAAAUAGCUACCCUCUCAACUUUGGAGCUUAGGAGCAAUGACAACAAGAAAAAACGUCCCAGAUUCAUGACAUGAAAGUUACACAUCCAGAGAGACCUGCUUCCUACACCUGAACUGGGGCGCUCAGAUCCAGCAAACACACACGCACCCGGGACACCCAGCCCCCGACACACUCACACUGACGGCGUGUUCGAAUGCGUCUGUGCUUCACACCGACGGGUGUUUUGUAUUUCGGCUGCCACUCCUAUCCCGAAAGCUUAUAGAAACUGGCAACCCAGAUUUCUUUAAACGAGAGGUAGGGAGAUCUUUGUUCCUGGAGAACUUUUCUUAGAGUCUGUCCGGGAGGAACCACAAUAACAUCCUUUGUUCCCGGCUUUUCCCUGUGGCAUCUUCUAACAGCCUGGGCCCUGCCCUGCCUCUGUGACCCUCGCAGUUGACAGCGCCCUUCACCUUAGAUGGUCCUACUUGACCCCGCCUUCAGGCACAGAGCCCUGGAGACGUACUAGGUCAGGAAAGGGGGAGUGGGCCCCCAAAGCCGGCCGGAAACAGCCACUGUUUUGAAUAUAUUGCAUAUCCAAUAUAAGUCUGUGUUGAAUAUAAAUAUCACCAGUCUGCACUAGGAAACCCAUCUUUAGAAUGUUAACUUUAAAAUAAAUACUCAAAGCUGAAGUUCGGGCCGUGUCAAAAUUGUAUUCAAACCCAGAGCACAAACUUCUAAGGUUUCUGUCUUCAGUCAGUCAGUCAACCAAAUUUAUUCAAGAUUACUGUGCUUACUGUCGGGGUAAAUGCAAAACUAACAGAUAAAUUUUCAUUCAAAAUUUUCCCUAGAAGUUUUUCCUAGAAAGAGGGAGUGAGAACUCCCUCCUCUUGGCCAGCAUUUCCUUUAGAAAACUCAACAACGUAUGUGUCUCCUCCUCUUGGAGGCGUCUGUGAAGCUUCUAGAAGCUGGCCGAGCCCCUCGGCAGGUUGCAUCCAGGACGGCUUCCUCGGGCCUGCAGCAAGUCUUUGAAACGUGAACGUGGAGGAGGGUCCCCUGUCUGGGGACUUGAGCCCAUGAGCUUGUCUGCAAGAUGCAACUUCCUCUUGUUGAAAAGACAGGAGUUUCGUUUCUCCUUUGGGUGAAGACAACUGGUGCGUACGUGUGUGUGUGUGUGUCGGGUGCCAGGACCACACAGAGGACGCGGCUCUUUCUGUCUCGCAGUCUCUUCGGGCCGCCCAUGAUGUGCACCCCGUUCUGGCUUAGUGCUCGUUCAGUAACAAACCCAUGGAAUAAAACUUGCAGCAGCAAAACCUGUGUGGAGAGGUUUCCUGGGCUGGGAGGAGAAGUGGUUGUCAAUUCUGUUGCUGGGUCCCUGCGCAGGCUUGGGGAUUUUUGAUGCUUCCCAUGGACAGGACACAGCAUUGGGAGGCGCAGACUCGCGUCACCGGAGGGGGGGGGGUGGGGGCUUCAGGCUUCUGCAAGUGCAAGUGCUGAGCCGCUUUCUUCCGGAGACAGCUGCUGACCCCAGGCCUCCUCCAGCUCCCACCCCUUUUCUGAGCUCUCAUACUGGGCUUUGCGACCCACGGAUGAACGUUCCCUCCGAGAUGCCCAGAGGGUGCCCCCAACUCAACACCGGAAGCUGAGCUCGCCUCCCCAGGCCCGCUGCUCCUCUCACGGCUCCUUGCUGCUGUGGGCUCCGCCAGUCAAUCUCUGCC